rnacentral:rRNA from 1 species
ACGCUCGACACCUACGGGAGGUAGCAGUGGGGAAUAUUGCACAAUGGGGGAAACCCUGAUGCAGCGACGCCGCGUGGAGGAAGAAGGUCUUCGGAUUGUAAACUCCUGUUGUUGGGGAAAAAGAGGAUGGUACCCAACAAGGAAGUGACGGCUAACUACGUACCAGCAGCCGCGGUAAUCUGAGCGGGCUGGCAAGGC